rnacentral:rRNA from 1 species
AAAGGAAUUGACGGGGGCCCGCACAAGCGGUGGAGUAUGUGGUUUAAUUCGAUGCAACGCGAAGAACCUUACCUGGUCUUGACAUCCCGGAAAUCCCUUGGAAACUUGGGAGUGCUUCCAUUAGGAAGAGUCCGGAGACAGGUGCUGCAUGGCUGUCGUCAGCUCGUGUCGUGAGAUGUUGGGUUAAGUCCCGCAACGAGCGCAACCCUUGCCUUUAGUUGCCAGCAGUUCGGCUGGGCACUCUAAAGGGACUGCCGGUGUCAAACCGGAGGAAGGUGGGGAUGACGUCAAGUCCUCAUGGCCUUUAUGACCAGGGCUACACACGUACUACAAUGGCCGAUACAAAGGGCAGCGACAUUGCGAAAUGAAGCCAAUCCCAUAAAAUCGGUCUCAGUCCGGAUUGGAGUCUGCAACUCGACUCCAUGAAGUUGGAAUCGCUAGUAAUCGUGGAUCAGCAUGCCACGGUGAAUACGUUCCCGGGCCUUGUACACACCGCCCGU